rnacentral:lncRNA from 10 species
GGCAUUUCUCAUGAGCUCAUCAGCACAAGAGCUAACAUUUUCCCUGUUUGUUUUCUUUUCAGACACGAAUGCAUUUGCUUCAGCAAAAGAGACAUGUAUCUUAGAAACCUAUCAAAAAUAUUUGAAUACAGCUACCUCGGCAAUCUCUGCUCUACGGGCUCCUCCCCCCACCUUUCUUUUAACCUUUGCCUGAGAAGAAUUUAAAUGGCAUAUUUAGUGGCUGUAUAUUGUGCUUCCUGUACCCACUGCUGCAUAAAAGGGAUUGAUUUAAAUCGCUUACAGUAACCAUGUGGGGGAGGAGGGUCUAGUUUUCUGCACCAAAUGCUCCAGGAUGCAUAAUAAGCAACCACAAAUACAGACAACAAAUGAGUGUGCUUGCAUUUGUCUCUUCUCUGGUAAAGAAUUAUUCUUUAGUACGGAUGGACUGCACACUUUUAGCAUCAACAAGAGAGCAGCUCAGAUGUGCGAGCACCAAUAAAGGAUACUUAAGCCUCCGUCCCCCAGGUAAUGAGUCUCAGAAAUGUUGGCUAAAAAAGUCAGAGAAUGUUCCUAUUUAUAAUUUUUUUGAAUCAUGAAAUUUAUAACACCUCCCAAAGCAGGAACGGACCAAGUUUAAAGAUUACAGCUGAGUGCCAGUAAAGCGUUAAAGGCAACCAUUGUUAAUAACAAUCGGCUGAAAAGCAAGACACAGCUCAUGCUUUGGAGCCGUACUAAGAGAUUCGGCAUCUCUAAAAUCGCUAGAGCCUUUGACAAGCCAGGCAUAAAUCAGGAGGGAUUUAAAUUCCUGAUUUUCUGGCAUUUUUUAAGCUAUAAAUCCUACACAUUCCUAAAACCACAUGGUCCCAUAACUGGAGCUGAGGGCUAGAGUAGGUCCCUGGAACAGUUCAAAGGGUCAAACUGGAAUUAGGAGCUCCUGCUUCUCUCUAGGCCUUAAGGCAAUUUUUUCUGAAGGACAUUUAAAGAUUUUUUUUUUAAAGUCUUCUGAAAUGAGGCCAAGAGGGUGUUACAUUUAUCCCAACAAUCUACCAGGGCUUUCUCGUCUUUGGAUGUAACCAUGUUGGGAUUUUUCUAGAUCUUAUUAAUCCAUGUCUAUAUACUCAAGAUGGUUUGGAUAGUCAGAGGUCAGAAAACAAUUAAAGGAGGGAGACUAAAUGGUCUAUAAAUGAAUGUGAUCUAUUCAGGGUUUCUUAAAAUGAGCUUAAGGACCAUUUGCCUUCCUGGAGAGAGAUGUGGAUGGAAGAGGUGUCCUGCUCCAAUCCAUGACUUUAGCAUGAGGAAAGCAUUCAGGAUGAAUGAAAGAAAGAACAGAGCAGAAUCAGGAUGCCUGGGUAAGAGACAAUAAGUCAAAAUAAGAUGAAAUGAGAACCCAAACUACAGAGUGGCAGCGAAAAUGCAGAGUGAAUGUGGAAAACUUGAUGAAGGUAAAAUCUGAAGAUCUUGGCACCUAAUUGGAUUCGCAUGAGGAGAACCAGAGAAGGGAGAGUCACUCAUGUCCGGGAGGAAAGAGCACAGCAUUUGUAACCUAGAAACCUGGACUGAAGGUCUUUAUUCUGCCAUUUACUAGUUUUGUAAACUCUGGGAAGCCAUUCACCUCUGAGUCUCAUUUUUAUCGGUUGCAAAACAAGGCUGGAAAUACCUACAAAAUAAAUGAGAAAAUGUAUUAAAUGUC